rnacentral:rRNA from 1 species
UACGAGGGGUGCAAGCGUUGCUCGGAAUUAUUGGGCGUAAAGGGCAAGUAGGUGGUCUCAUUUGUCUGGGGUGAAAGCCUUGAGCUUAACUCAAGAAGUGCCCCGGAAACGGUGAGACUCGAGUAUUGGAGAGGGUCGUGGAAUUCCCGGUGUAGCGGUGAAAUGCGUAGAGAUCGGGAGGAACACCAGAGGCGAAGGCAGUGUCCUGGGGAGUACCUGACGCUCAGGUGCGAAAGCCAGGGGAGCGAACGGG